rnacentral:misc_RNA from 1 species
CAAAACCUCUCAGCAUUAAUUUGUUGGUACUGGGCGCGGAGUAAGGCUAACGCCCCUCCCGCUUUAAACGUGACGCAUGAGGACCGGUUGCUAUAACUAGGUUUAUGAAGUUGGUGUUUACAUAUAUUUCAUACCUUGGCUCUGGCGAUCCGGCAUUAAACUUAUGUUGCUCUGCAACUGAC